rnacentral:lncRNA from 1 species
ACAAUCACUUCCUAAGAGGCGACGUGGCCCUUCAGCAACCACAGCUGUAGAGCCGGUGUCCUGUGCCAGGGACGCGUGCGGUGUCCCACCCGCCAAGACAAGGCGAAACGCGCUCCGCCAGCGACAAUCUAGAUUGAGCACAAUGUGUAGUGGCACUUAACCUCUGCGUGAAAGGGAAAAGCAGAAAGCGACAGAGGUACAACAACAGGUUUUUCCGUGUUCCUCAAAGCAUCCUGCAGGUUAGUUGCACCUAAGAGAAUGUAAACGUUGGGUUCGACCUGCUGGAGCCCAGGUAGGAUGCUUUAGCCAGCCGGGGACUGGAGAGUUGGAAGGGAACAAGGUGGAGGUGCUGUGAGACAAGAAGGGGAGGCCUGGUUAGAGAGGAAGAUUUCGAGGAAAUUCAGCACAGAUGUGAGAACCGAAGGCCAAAGAGUUGAAAUGCUUCCGAAGAGUCAAAGUGUGCAGGCUUGACUUCCACUAGAGCAGGCCAAGUAGGAAAGUCUAAAGUUCAAAGUCAGGUUCAAAGAAGCCAAAGAAGAAAGAGUCUGGAAAUUGCAGUGUAG